rnacentral:rRNA from 1 species
UACAGAGGGUGCAAACGUUGCUCGGAAUCACUGGGCGUAAAGGGCGUGUAGGCGGGAAGGAAAGUCAGAUGUGAAAUCCCUGGGCUCAACCCAGGAACUGCAUUUGAAACUCCCUUUCUUGAGUGUCGGAGAGGAAAGCGGAAUUCCUGGUGUAGAGGUGAAAUUCGUAGAUAUCAGGAGGAACACCGGUGGCGAAGGCGGCUUUCUGGACGACAACUGACGCUGAGACGCGAAAGCGUGGGGAGCAAACAGG